AUUUGAUGAUGAGGGCAGCUUGCACAUAGCCUCUUGAAUCUCUCCCAAUAUUCAUAUAAACCUUCUGCAUGUAGUUGUUUGAUUCCUGAAAUAUCUUUUAUGAUUGU
rfam:Lupinus angustifolius cultivar Tanjil chromosome LG14, whole genome shotgun sequence.